rnacentral:rRNA from 1 species
UACGUAGGGUGCGAGCGUUGUCCGGAAUUAUUGGGCGUAAAGAGCUUGUAGGCGGUCUGUCGCGUCUGCUGUGAAAAUCCGGGGCUCAACCCCGGACUUGCAGUGGGUACGGGCAGACUAGAGUGUGGUAGGGGAGACUGGAAUUCCUGGUGUAGCGGUGAAAUGUGUAGAGAUCGGGAGGAACACCGGUGGCGAAGGCGGGUCUCUGGGCAAUUCCUGACGCUGAGGCGCGAAAGCGUGGGGAGCAAACGGG